GAUUCGUUGUUUUUUCCUCCUUAGACAAUAUCGAAACAGAUGACCUUGGCAAUCUAGAUGAUCUGAUUGAGGGUUUAGCAAUCGAAGAAGAGAGCGAGGAGGACAGGAGAGGAAAAGCCCAGGAAGAAGAAGAAAUGGAAACUGAUCUUGAAUGAGAACAGAGACAUCUUCCACCGGAGGAAAACGAUGCUCACAUGCAUGCUUUUUUUGGGGGGGAUCAAAGGAACAAUUUCUUGUUAAAAAUAAAAGAAUAAAGGGAUAUCAGUGGGAGAUUAAUGCCUGUCUUUGUGAUCUUGUUCUUACCAAAAAAAAAAA